ACCCGUCAAUUCCUUUAAGUUUCACACUUGCGUGCGUACUCCCCAGGCGGAACACUUAACGCGUUGGCUACGACACCGAGGGGGUCGAUUCCCCCGACACCUAGUGUUCAUCGUUUACGGCCAGGACUACAGGGGUAUCUAAUCCCUUUCGCUCCCCUGGCUUUCGUCCAUGAGCGUCAGUUAUGGCCCAGCAGAGCGCUUUCGCCACUGGUGUUCUUCCCGAUAUCUACGCAUUUCACCGCUACACCGGGAAUUCCCUCUGCCCCUACCACACUCGAGUCUUACAGUUUCCAUCGCUGAAAUGGAGUUGAGCUCCACGCUUUAACGACAGACUUGUAAAACCGCCUGCGGACGCUUUACGCCCAAUAAUUCCGGAUAACGCUUGCCACUCCCGUAUUAC
rnacentral:misc_RNA from 1 species